UACAGAGGGUGCGAGCGUUGUUCGGAAUUAUUGGGCGUAAAGCGCUUGUAGGCGGCACGUCAAGUCGCGUGUGAAAUCCCCAGGCUUAACCUGGGAAGUGCGCGCGAAACUGACGAGCUUGAGUGCCGGAGAGGGUCGCGGAAUUCCCGGUGUAGAGGUGAAAUUCGUAGAUAUCAGGAGGAACACCAAUGGCGAAGGCAGAUCUCUGGGCCGUAACUGACGCUGAGGAGCGAAAGCAUGGGGAGCGAACAGG
rnacentral:rRNA from 1 species